GGAUAUGAGGGCGAUUUGGCUGUGACAUCCAUCAUCCCAUUGAUCGCCAGGGUUGAUUUGGCUGAUCUGGAUGGCUAGGAGGGUGUCCCCUUCCUCCCUCAGGGCUCCAUCUGUGCCCCUCCCAAAGCUGCACACUCACUGAAGAAGAUGACGUUCCCUGAAUGGAGGAGCUCUGGUCUUCAGUCCAGGGUACACAAGUAGUUGUGCUCUCCUGUGAGAACCACCAAACAAAUGCUGGGAUGAUAGGAGCAUACUACAAUGCCUCAUUUUGAGUCCCACUUCUGAUAUUACUUGUUGUGAAAGUUAUAUC
rnacentral:snRNA from 1 species